rnacentral:snRNA from 1 species
GUGCUUGCUUCGGCAGCACAAAUACUAAAACUGGAACGAUACAGAGAAGAUUAGCAUGGCUCCUGCGCAAGGAUGACACGCAAAUUUGUGAAGCGUUCCACAUUAAA